UCUGCUCCAACCUCCCUCAUAACUCGGCUAACUCUAUCUGUGCUUACAACAUUCACACAUAUCAUCACAUGCUACCCAAUACACCUCUCACAAGAGUAAAAGUUUUCAAAUUGUGCUGAGGGGUCAUAUAGACCAUGAACACAUAGUUUUAACGGUAUUCAUACCGCAAAACAUUACCUGGUAUGUUUACAAUCACAAAGAAGGUAAACUACCAUUAAUAGUAC
rnacentral:lncRNA from 1 species